ACUUAAAUAGCUUAUUCAGAGAGCAUGAUAUUGAAGAUAUCAAGGAAAUAAUAUAUUUUUAAGU
rnacentral:tRNA from 1 species